rnacentral:rRNA from 1 species
GAUGAACGCUGGCGGCGUGCUUAACACAUGCAAGUCGAACGAACAGACGAAGAGUUUUCUGCGCUGACGUUAGGGGCGGGCGGGUGAGAAACGCGUGGAUUACCCUCCUCUAUGAGUGGGAUGACUGCGAGAAAGCGUAGCUAAUACCGUAUAAUAUAUUGAACCGUAUUGUUCAAGAGAGAAAUUCGGUUUUGGUGUCGCUUAUAGACGUAUCCGCGCGUAAUUAGGUAGUUGGUUAGCUAACGGCUUACCAAGGCAACGAUGCGUAGCCGUCCGGAGAGGGUGAUAGGCCACACGGGAGUGGAGGCACGGACCAGGCUCCUAAGAGAGGCAGCAGUCGGGCACGUGACGCAAGAGGCGAAAAUUUGACGGAGCGAGGACGCGUGAGUGAUGGAGGUCUUGGGAGCGUAAAACUCUGUUAUUAGGGAAAAACAAAUGUGUAAGUAACAAUGGACGUCUUGACGGUACCUGAAGAAAAAGCACCGGCUAACUACGUG